rnacentral:lncRNA from 1 species
AGUGCGGAGCGUGCCUCCUAAGCUUGCGGCUUAGGAAACGGUGGGAGGAGGCAGUGUGCCCAGGUCUUCACGGACAGGAUUCGGAGUUUCCUCCCAACCCUGCGCUUUCCACGGAAGAGAGGCGAGGAGAGUUUGGGGUCUCGAGAGCACUCAGCACCAGAGAACCUCCUCCACCGUGGGUCCUUCUUGGGCCCCUGCAGAGUCCUACCCUUCCAGACUUUUCAAGAUUUGAGCUUCCCACUGUCUUGAAUUCAGAGAUCUACCUGCUUCUGCCUUCUGAAUGCUGGGAUAGCAGGAGCAAUGGCGAUCUGGAGUGACAGAGCAGUUGAAGGCGAAGUUACACGUUGGAGUAAGGCUUAUGGAAAGAAAAUGCUGAAACCCUCCUCACAGACACAAAGGAAAACCUGGAGAAAUGGAAAGACCAUGUUUUUGGCCAGGAAGACUCAACGUCAUAAAGCUGUCAAUUCUCCCUAAGUACAUUUCUAAAUUUAAUGUGAUCCCAAUAAAAUACCAACAGAUUUUUUUUAAAGCCAGACAAGCUGAAUUCUAAAGUUCAUGUGAAAAAAAUAAAGAAAUAAAAACAUUUGGAAAAAC